AGGGGUGUAGUUCAGCUGGUAGAGCGUCGGUCUCCAAAACCGGAUGUCGUGGGUUCGAGUCCCUCCGCCCCUG
rnacentral:tRNA from 1 species